AUUGAACGCUGGCGGCAUGCCUUACACAUGCAAGUCGAACGGUAACAGGUCUUCGGACGCUGACGAGUGGCGAACGGGUGAGUAAUACAUCGGAACGUGCCCGAUCGUGGGGGAUAACGGAGCGAAAGCUUUGCUAAUACCGCCUACGAUCUACGGAUGAAAGCAGGGGACCGCAAGGCCUUGCGCGGACGGAGCGGCCGAUGGCGGAUUAGGUAGUUGGUGGGAUAAAAGCUUACCAAGCCGACGAUCUGUAGCUGGUCUGAGAGGACGACCAGCCACACUGGGACUGAGACACGGCCCAGACUCCUACGGGAGGCAGCAGUGGGGAAUUUUGGACAAUGGGCGCAAGCCUGAUCCAGCCAUGCCGCGUGCAGGAUGAAGGCCUUCGGGUUGUAAACUGCUUUUGUACGGAACGAAACGGCUCUUUCUAAUAAAGAGGGCUAAUGACGGUACCGUAAGAAUAAGCACCGGCUAACUACGUGCCAGCCGCCGCUGUAAAAC
rnacentral:rRNA from 1 species